rnacentral:rRNA from 1 species
AUUGAACGCUGGCGGCAUGCCUUACACAUGCAAGUCGAACGGCAGCACGGGUGCUUGCACCUGGUGGCGAGUGGCGAACGGGUGAGUAAUACAUCGGAACAUGUCCUGUAGUGGGGGAUAGCCCGGCGAAAGCCGGAUUAAUACCGCAUACGAUCUACGGAUGAAAGCGGGGGACCUUCGGGCCUCGCGCUAUAGGGUUGGCCGAUGGCUGAUUAGCUAGUUGGUGGGGUAAAGGCCUACCAAGGCGACGAUCAGUAGCUGGUCUGAGAGGACGACCAGCCACACUGGGACUGGGACACGGCCCAGACUCCUACGGGAAGCAGCAAUGGGGAAUUUUGGACAAUGGGCGAAAGCCUGAUCCAGCAAUGCCGCGUGUGUGAAGAAGGCCUUCGGGUUGUAAAGCACCUUUGUCCGGAAAGAAAUCCUUGGCCCUAAUACGGUCGGGGGAUGACGGUACCGGAAGAAUAAGCACCGGCUAACUACGUG